rnacentral:rRNA from 1 species
UGAGUAUUGUAUUAAAUUGGUUGCACGUUUGUGUAACUAUUUAAUCAUACUCUUCCUACUGGUAACUCGAUUCUGUGCUUAAUUGCAUGGAGUAGCAUGAUUUCGGUUGUGUCGGUUGGUUAUUUCAGCUCCACAAAGAGGUUGAGAGGUGUAAAAGCCUUGAGGUUGAUUUAGUGGGUCAAGUUGAAGUGAUUAAUUGGAGUUCUAGUUCAUUUACUUUGAGAAAAUUAGAGUGUUUAAAGCAGCCUCUUUGGGCUCUGAAUACAUUAGCAUGGGAUAAUAGAAUAGGAUUUUAAUCUGAUAUUUGUUGGUUCAACAGGUUGAAAUAAUGAUGAAUAGGGACAGUUGGGGGUAUUUAUAUUGGAUGGUUAGCGGUGAAAUGCUCGGAUCCAUUCAAGAUAAACUAAAGCGAAAGCAUUUACCAAGGAUGUUUUCAUUAAUCAAGAACGAAAGUUAAGGGAUCGAAGACGAUCAGAUACCGUCGUAGUCUUAACUAUAAACUAUGCCGACCAGGGAUGUGGGUUGUUAUGAAUGUGUCAAAGUAUUCGAUUUCUUCCUAUGGAUCUUGUGAGAAAUCAUAAGUUUUUGGGUUCUGGGGGGAGUAUGGUCGCAAGGCUGAAACUUAAAGGAAUUGACGGAGGGGCACCACCAGGAGUGGAGCAUGCGGCUUAAUUUGACUCAACACGGGGAAACUUACCAGGUCCAGACAUUAGCAGGAUUGAC